rnacentral:rRNA from 47 species
UAAGGUCACGGCGAGACGAGCCGUUUAUCAUUACGAUAGGUGUCAAGUGGAAGUGCAGCGAUGUAUGCAGCUGAGGCAUCCUAACAGACCGAGAGAUUUGAAC